rnacentral:lncRNA from 1 species
UCAUUCAUAUACCCUAUAUUUGCUCUGUUAUCAAAAAUACUACAACACUUUGAGGGUGUAUCAAUCGCCCACCCUUAGUUGACAAAAUGUAUCAGCCGACCACCAAACCGUUAGUUGUCGUUUGAAAGUUAACGGAGUUACAGUGAAUUGACGAUUUUACCCUUGAAAAUUAUCACUUGUAUACCCUUAAAUUCUCUUUUUAUCACUUGUAUGCCCUUAAAUUAUCACUUGUAUCAUAUGAAAAGACCAAAUUACCCUUCUGACAUCAUCAUACUUAAACGGCAACUAACGGUUUGGUGGUCAGCUGAUACAUUUUGUCAACUUAGGGUGGACAAUUGAUACACCCUCAAAGUGUUGUAGUAUUUUUGAUAAUGGAGUAAACUAAGGGUAUACAAAUGAUAUU